CGCACCGAGGCCUGAGGACCCGAAAGCCGGGCGCGGGGAGAUGACCGGUGGCUCGUGACGGUCCCACGGGCAAAAUCUUCCAUCGCCCGGGGCUGAGACUUGUCAAACUGCCCUCUACGGUCACCCGGAAAGUAGGAGGCUUUUUCUGCAGAGGGGAAAAAAAUCAAAAAGAGCCGUUCCAUCCCCCCUCCAAGGACUGGGUUUGAAUUGCUUUUCAUCUGCAGUGGCUGUGAUUCAGCGUCCCUCUUAGCAGCAGGCAAUGACAGAGGCAGGAGAGGGGAAAAAAAAAAAGAAAGAAAGAAAAAACACAGCAAAUGAAUCAAACGGACCAGGUAGCAGGCAAGAGUGUGGUUAUCGUUGGACCAGGAUUCAGGAUCUGACUGAGUAGCUGACUCUUAAUCCAGUUUGUGUUGAUCACCAGGAGGAUCUGGACCUCAGUAUUACCACAUCUAGAGGUGAUAUGCCAACUCCACCUUUGCCUUCCACCAUGUUUGGAAGCUCCCUGAGGCCUCACCAGGAGCAGAUGCUCGUCCCAUGCUUCCUAUAAGCCUGCAGAACUGGAAAAGAAAGCUGGAUAAAGUAUUUAUAGAAGAUAGAGGACCUGUGGUGGCUCAUGCCUGUAAUCCAAGGUGGAAGGAUUGCUUGAGGCCAGAAGUUCAAGACCAGUCCAAGCAACAUAGCAAGGCCCCAUCUCUACAAAAAAUGAAAAUAAAAUUAGCCGAGCGUGAUGGCUCAUGCCUGUAGUUCUAGCUUCUAGAGAGGCUGAGGCAGGAGGAUUGCUUGAGUCCAGGAGUUCAAGAUUACAGUGAGCUAUGGUCACACCACUGCACUCCAGCCUGGGUGAUGGAGUGAGACUGUCUCAAUAAAAAGACAAAAAGGCUGGCCAGGGGCAGUGGUUCAUGCCUGUAAACCCAGCACUUUGGGAGGCAAAGGCAGGAGGAUUGCUUAAGCCCAGGAAUUUGAGAUCAGCCUGGACAACAUGUAAAAGGUUAGUAGGAAAUGUGUUUUCCCCCAUGGGGCAUUCCUGGAGAAAUCUCUAGCAAUAAAGGUACUUGUUUGACUGGACAAGUUGUAAAACAGUUUAAUAAGGUUUUUUUUAGGUGUCAUAGCAUUAGGCAAAGCUAACUGAAUUGACUGGAUUGUCAUAGUCAAACAUAUUGCAGAUCCGCUUCCAAUAGAAGACAAUGAAAUAGUCACUGGAAAGCCUGUGCUCCUAAUUUUAGAACCUCAUGUAUCUUCUGCUCCUAAACUCUGAUAGGACUAAAUGCUGUGAGGCCUCAAUGCAUUAUGUUAAUGUGUAUUUUCACCAGGUCAAGGAAGCUUUUCCUGAUCCACUAACUAAGGACAAUCAAACCCUUCAUGAUCUAGAAUCUGGAGACUGUGUCUUCUGGGAAUAGUAUCAGAGAAAGACUGCCCUUACUGCCCACAUGUAGCAAAACUUUGAGACGUUGAAUUAUGGGUCCAUAAUCUCACAACUCAGAGGGGCACCUCUAGACUCUUGGAACUGUAUAUCUAUUGGAGACUUUAAGGUAAAGCUGAACAGAGAGACGUUUUUCUCCAGAAGCAGACAGCACCAUAGUCAUGGACAGCUUUCCCAAGAUCACAGAUCAAGACUUCUCUGCCGUCAUGAGACUCAUAACCUCUUAAUUUUUUCUUGCUUAUGCUUCUGUGAACAAUAGAAUUGGAAAAGGGGUGGUCCCGCGUGCACCCAUAGGGUAUACUUUUAUUUGUGGAGGAUUUUGCUGCCAACCUUAUACAUGGGCAAACUUAUGCCUUCAUGGAUGGAAGAUAAAGGGCUAAUAUGGGUUAGAAAUUUUAAUGGUACCUUUGUUUCUCCAUAAUCAUUCAGAAACAGAACACUGGUCCACUCUUGUUAACCUACAUCAUAGGUUGAAGAGAACAUUGCCAGGAGGCCUUCAUCCUUCCAGAUGGGCACCAUUUGUUGGGUCUUUUUCCGUGGUAUGAAGAAAAUGAAGCAAUGAUUAGAAAUUGGUCCCUCGGCCGGGCACAAUGGCUCAUGCCUGUAAUCCCAUCACUUUGGCAGGCCGAGGCGGGUGGAUCACCUGAGGUCAGGAGUUUGAGACCAGCCUGACCAAUGUGGUGAAACGCCAUCUCUACUAAAAAUACAAAAAUUAGCUGGGUGUGAUGGUGCACACCUGUAAUCCAGCUACUCGGGAGGCUGAGACAGGAGAAUUGCUUGAACCUGGGAGGCAGAGGUUGCAGUGAGCCAAGAUCACCCCACUGCAUUCCAGGUUGGGCAACAGAGCAAGACUCUGUCUCAAAAAAAAAAGAAGAAAGAAAGAAAUUGAUCCCUCAUAAUAGGCUGUAUAGCAGAUUCUACUGCAAAGGCUAUGGUUGCACAACAGACUUCUUUGAAUUUGCUUGCUAAACUUUUACUGGAUAAUACUGGGAUUACAGGUGUGAGCCACUGUGCCCAGCCUCUCCUGUUUAACUGUAUUCAUUCUAAUGUUUACUUACUUCUUUAAUUUGUAAAAUUGGGUCACUUAGAGUUUUUUUAGCCUAUCUUGCCAUUUAGCCACUGUUACUGAUAAUUUGGAUGGAAAAGAAAAAUAAAUUAUAUCACCUCUCAUCUUCAGUGUAUAUAUGUGUUAACUUAGUAAAUAUAGUAUUCUUUCUCGUUCCUAAUGAAAAUUUAGUUUACGUACUGAAACACUGCAAACUUUUAUAAAUAUUGUGAUGUAUUUGACCAAUACAAAGGAUCUUUUUAGAAACAGCAAACAGUUCUCAGAUUAUAGGAAUUACUCAUUUAAUGAUAGUUUCUUCUU
rnacentral:lncRNA from 10 species